rnacentral:lncRNA from 1 species
AGACAGCCAAGAACCAGCCCUGGACCGAGGGUGAAAUCCCGACCUUCUGGUGCCACCUCCACCUGGGCUCCAGCUCCCGGGACCUACCUUGGGGGAAGGGAGGGGUCUGGAGGUCGGCAGAAAGGCCACCACGAGAUCAAAGUGGACACGAAACUCACCGCACCUAAGGGACCUUUAUUCCCACCCCCCCACCCCCCCACCCCCCCAACGGAGCGGUGGCAAGUCCCUGGCGCACAAAGUCAGCCUGCCAGUCGCGCGGUCCAGCCACAGCCGGGCCCCAAGGAGCCGCCCGCCCGCGGGCCAGGGCGACACGCCCCGGUCCUCGAGCUGAGCCCGUGCGCCGGUGGCACUGGGAGCCCCGCGGGGUGGGGGCUGGGGGCUGGGGGCUGGGGCCCCGCGAGGGGCGAGGGCGGGAGGGCCAAGGGGCGGGCGAGGAGGGAGGGGGAGACCCGUCCCCCCGCAGGUGGCCCGGACGCCCAGCGGCUCCGCGCGGGGGCCGGGCCCGGGGGCGGGGCCUGUCGCGCGCAUCCCCCCCACGUGUCCCCGGUGCCCGGCCCUGCCCCCGGCCCGGUGUUUAUAACCCGGGAUUCACGGCGCGAUCGGCCCUGCUCCGCCGCCUGCCACCGCCGCCCGGCCCACGGUAAGGAGCCCCCGGCCCGAGACCCCCCUCCCACGCCUCGCCAAGGCCACCCUGCCCCGGGCCCCGCCGACAGCCAGCCGAGGAGGCCGAAGGGAGCGCGCCCCGGGGCUUGCACCUGGGCGGGGGGCGGGGGGCAAGGAGGCCGAGCCUGGGGCCACCGCGCUCAGGCGCCGGGCGACGGGAUUCCCGGGUCCCUCGGGGGUGGGGCCGGGCUCCCGUCUGCGGCCCUGAGGGGGGCUGGGUCGGGGGCCGAGGUCCUUUCUGGACUUCCCGUCUCUAAUCCAGCUUCCUCUCUGCCCUGCCGGAGCCCAGCCCCAUGGAGACCCUGGGAGUCCGGAGGGUGUGGGGUUCCCAGGUUCUCUCGCCCCCCCUGGCCACCCCCACCCCGUCUCCCUCUUUCUCUGCGGGAAACCGGAGUUCCAGCCCUCCCUCUGCCCCUCGCCCCCUUCCACAGCCCCGAGCCUCAGUUUCCCCGGGCAGCUGGGCUGCGGCCCGAGUCUCGAGUGUGGCCGCGCUCCCUCCCCUGCAGGGACGCCCGUCUCCGCCUCCGAGCGGGGUCAGCGCCCUGCGCCCAGGUGGGGCGGGAGGGGCCGUCCGGUGGCUGUUGUCUUUGGCCCCUGCGCGGCUGCGCCCUCCGGGGCUCUUCCUGGGGAGCUCCCGUGACCCGGCCACCUCGUGUUCCUUUCUGCGCAGUGGGGGCGUCUCCCGCGCAGCACCGCCGUCUGGCUGCACGCCUCAGGCAAGAACAAACCUGUCCUUUCCCCCAGAGACGGAUCAAAUAG